UACGGAGGAGGCAAGCGUUAUCCGGAAUUAUUGGGCGUAAAGCGUCCGCAGGUGGCACUUCAAGUCUGUCGUCAAAGACUGGGGCUUAACCCUGGAAGGGCGGUGGAAACUGAAGCGCUAGAGUGCGGUAGGGGUAGAGGGAAUUCCCGGUGUAGCGGUGAAAUGCGUAGAGAUCGGGAAGAACAUCGGUGGCGAAAGCGGCUUCCUGGUCCAGCACCGACGUUCAGGCACGAAAGCGUGGGGAGCAAACAGG
rnacentral:rRNA from 1 species